rnacentral:lncRNA from 13 species
CUUGAUAACCUAUUACUUCAAACCUAUUCCUCUGUUAGAUAUUCCACUAACCACAGCAGACAUUUCAGAUUCCCUAAUUGACUAGGCGAGGAGUCGGCGCUAAUCCACAGCCAGACUCUCCAGCUCAUCUCUCCAGGCCAGGCCAGGCUGAAUGACCUGUCGUGCCCACAGACAGCUCUCACAAUGGGGCUAGUGUUAGUGUCAGGCCCCCUGCCUUCCCUGAGACAACCAGGUCGAUGGGAGUUCAGUCUGGAGGCAGCAGUAGCAUGCAGUGUCUGUUCAGUGGAAUCAUGCUGGGCUAAUGAUAGUACCCAGUAAAUGAGCCCAGUAAGUGACUCUCAGCCAGCGGAGGUAAACAGUCUCUCUCAGCCAGCGGAGGAAAACAGUCUCUCUCAGCCAGCAGAGGAAAACAGUCUCUCUCAGCCAGUGGAGGCAAACAGUCUCUCUCAGUCAGCGGAGGCAAACAGUCUCUCUCAGCCAAGUUUCAGUUUAAAGUUUUAAUGCCACAAUUACAGUCAAAUGCCUUUCCUGAAGCUCAAACCCCAACAACGCAGUAAUCAAUAACAAUGUAGUACUAAAAAUAACAAGGUAAAACGAAAACACGCUAGAUAUAAUAAAUAAGAAGAACACGUGUAAACAUACUAUAUACAGGGUCAGUUCCAGAAGCACAUUUACAAUAUGGAGCGGAGGCAGACAGUGUCUCUCAGCCAGCGGAGGCAGACGGUGUCUCUCAGCCAGUGGACUCUAUUAGGCCUACAUCACUGGGAGGAGACCGUCUAAUGGACAGAUAACACAUCACUGGGAGGAGACCGUCUAAUGGACAGAAAACACAUCACUGAGAGGAGACCGUCUAAUGGACAGAUAACACAUCACUGGGAGGAGACCAUCUAAUGGACAGAUAACACAUCACUGAGAGGAGACCGUCUAAUGGACAGAUAACUCAUCACUGGGAGGAGACCGUCUAAUGGACAGAUAACACAUCACUGAGAGGAGACCGUCUAAUGGACAGAUAACACAUCACUGAGAGGAGACCGUCUAAUGGACAGAUAACACAUCACUGAGAGGAGACCGUCUAAUGGACAGAUAACACCUCACUGGGAGGAGACCGUCUAAUGGACAGAUAACGGUCAAUAGACACUGUGGAGAAAAACCAAUGAAACCAUUCAGCUCUUUCUUAUUGUCUUUCUAUCGCUCUUCAUUCCUAUUUGUUAUUCCUUGCACUCUCUUUCCCUUCUGCCCAUGUUAACCCCCUAUCAAUCAAUCAAUUUAUCAGUCAAUCAAUUUAUCAAUCAAUCAAAUGUAUUUAUAAAGCCCUUUUUACACCAGCAGAUGUCACAAAGUGCUUAUACAGAAAACCCAGCCUAAAACCUCUAUCAUGGUGGCCUCCACUGCUCUCCCCCUUCCACCACCCCUUAAAUCUCUGCAUGGUCCAGAACUCAC